CGUAGGGUGCAAGCGUUAAAUCGGGAAUUACUGGGGCGUAAAAGCGUGCGCAGGCGGUCCGCUAAGACAGAUGUGAAAUCCCCGGGCUUAACCUGGGAACUGCAUUUGUGACUGGCGGGCUAGAGUAUGGCAGAGGGGGGUAGAAUUCCACGUGUAGCAGUGAAAUGCGUAGAGAUGUGGAGGAAUACCGAUGGCGAAGGCAGCCCCCUGGGCCAAUACUGACGCUCAUGCACGAAAGCGUGGGGAGCAAACAGGAUU
rnacentral:rRNA from 1 species